GGGGAAUUAAAUUUUGAAAUAAUCAAUACCUUGAUUUGAAAUGGACUCUUUCCAGGUGCUGUAAAUGAGGUCUACUGAGACAACGAAGCUUGGGUUGGAGGUUUCAGUUAAUCAUCUAAUUUGUCAAAACACAUAAUCAGCCAGAGGCCACUGCCUUUGACUUUAUCUAGUUAUCUUUCAUAGUCAGAGUGAUAGAAGAAACAGUUUUAUCAUUAGCAUGGAACUGAUUUUACUGCUGUAGGACUGCAUGAAUAUGAAUUUGUGUGUUGGGUUACUGAAGGAUACUUCAAAGUGAUGUUCAGCAUGCUGCUUUUCUGGCUCUUUCUGUCGUGGUGAAACAUGGCUUAGAGAAGGUUAUCUUGUUAAAGGCAUUCUGAAGCACAUUUCCUAGACUGGGAGAGAAGUGAGGGAAGCCCUGCAAUUUACAACUUUUUCCAAGGGAACUUGUUGUGAUACCAUUUUUUAAAAGUCCUUGUUAUUAACUUUUUUUUUUUCCUCCUUCCACAAAACUAGGAGGUUACUGAAGUUCACAGAGAUUUGUAGGAAAGUCUGAGUUACCUUCUCUUUUCAAGUAUUUGCAGUCAAUAAAUAGGACCAUGUUCUUGAA